AUUGAACGCUGGCGGCAUGCUUUACACAUGCAAGUCGAACGGUAACAGGCCGCAAGGUGCUGACGAGUGGCGAACGGGUGAGUAAUGCAUCGGAACGUGCCCAGUCGUGGGGGAUAACGCAGCGAAAGCUGCCCUAAUACCGCAUACGAUCUAUGGAUGAAAGCGGGGGACCGUAAUGCCUCGCGCGAUUGGAGCGGCCGAUGUCAGAUUAGGUAGUUGGUGGGGUAAAGGCUCACCAAGCCAACGAUCUGUAGCUGGUCUGAGAGGACGACCAGCCACACUGGGACUGAAACACGGCCCAGACUCCUACGGGAGGCAGCAGUGGGGAAUUUUGGACAAUGGGCGCAAGCCUGAUCCAGCAAUGCCGCGUGCAGGAAGAAGGCCUUCGGGUUGUAAACUGCUUUUGUACGGAACGAAACGGCUCUGGUUAAUACCUGGGGCUAAUGACGGUACCGUAAGAAUAAGCACCGGCUAACUACGUGCCAGCAGCCGCCGUAAUAC
rnacentral:rRNA from 1 species